UUCAUAUAAGUCCUCCGUGGGUUGGGCAGGAAAUUUGACAUCCUCUGUUGCAGUGUUUGAACUUUACAAUGUAAAACUUGAAGAUGGCAAGAAGUAUGGAAUAGUGGUGGAAUACGGACUUCAGAAUACCCCGCUGACCGACUCGGUUCAGCUUCAAGUUAAGUCCAGACGCUCACCAGAAAUCACUACGCCACAACGGACAAGUGUCACAACAACUGCAAGAGCUACAAAUACAGGGUCUCCAGAUACGCCGAAAGAGCCCGACGUUUCGGUGCCAAGAAAACCAUCAGAAAAAUCCUCUUUUAAAUGGGCGGUGGCAUGUGGAAUCAUCGUCUGUGUUGUGAUAACACUCACUGCAGGCCUUUACUUUCACAGUCAUAAAAAGAGCCCUAAACAUGGCGCAUAUAAUUCUAUCUCCACUUAAACCAACAAAAAAGGAAUUUUGCGUUUGAUUCUGGGUGACUCAUGCCAAGAAAAUUAGAAGGUCUAAACACCGUUGUCAUGAGCAUAAAUCCCAGUAUUAGGCCAUUGCCAUUUAUAACGGCUGGAAAUAUUGUUUAGAGACUGCUGAAAAAUUAAGAAGUAGGCAUAGCUAUGAAAUAGCUGAGAGAGUUGUAAACGUUCAAUGAAAACUAAGGCGUUUUAGGGCGGUCAGUCUGAAGCAUUAACUCAUUAUUUCAGUAUAGACCACAGUAGUUGCCAUUCCCUUCCAGUUCCAAUUUUUUCAGAAAAUUUUUUUUUAAAUAUCAUAGCUAGUUUAGACUAAUCCCUUUUUCUCUGUGUAUCAUUCUCAUACAUUGAUUCUACUCAGUUCCUAGCCUCAACUGAAAAGUGUUCUAGCACAUGUUUUGAGGACGCACUAUCGAAGACUGAUGACUGUUGCGCCCAAAACAACCCUUUACAUUGAUUACUCCGUGUAAGAGUAGCUACCAUGAACAGUCGGGCUUAUACAGGGAGUCACUAAAAAAUUUGAAUUUAUUUCGCCUUAUCUUGUUGUGUAUGUAAGAAAUUAUAGCUAUGUCGUCGAAUGCUUAAUGUUAGGUAUUUCGAUCUUCAGAUUAUCCAUGUUUUAUCUGUUAAAAUUUUUAUCACCUUUUUUUAGAGGAAUUUAAAAUAAAAUUUUUUUUCAGAGA